UAGACCCGAAGCCGGGUGAUCUAUCCAUGAGCAGGUUGAAGCUUGGGUAAAGCCAAGUGGAGGACCGAACCGUUGUAAGUUGAAAAUUACUCGGAUGACUUGUGGAUAGGGGUGAAAGGCCAAUCAAACUCGGUGAUAGCUGGUUCUCUCCGAAAUAUAUUGAGGUAUAGCCUCGGGAGUUUCCUUUUGGAGGUAGAGCACUGACAGGGCUAGGGGGCUUA
rnacentral:rRNA from 12 species